CAGAUAGAGCUAGUUCCUAAUCUCUGGAACCUGUGUCUAUUUCAGUGAUCGCAGACACUGAAGAGAAGGCAGUGUGGCCACAAGGGCAGAGAAUACAGUGGUGUAGCUGCGGUCAAAGGAUGCCAGCAGCCAAGUUUAUGAUAGUCUGAUUCAGUAGCCAGAAGAAACUCAUUCAGAAACUAAUAAAAUUACCCGUUAUGUUUAGUGAUUGAAACAGAGUUCGGAAUAAGAUUUUUUCAUCAAUGGUCCUUUUAUAGUAUCUUUUUUGUUAAACAAGAUGAAUAUAUUUACGUUUAAAAUGUAAAUCGUAAAUCUUUCCUUUAAUUCAAAGAUUUCCUCUCUUCACAGCUUAGGCUGGGACCCUAGUCAUGCAGACCACUGUGAGGAAGGGGAGUAGACAGUAUUCUGGACUUCCACUUGCUCUGCUGUGCUGGCUGGCUCCUGAUGUGGAGAUUCAAGACAAAGAGCUUGGGUUUAGCACAGUCUGGCUAUUGGUACCUCUGUCCAGGCAGCCGGCCUAACUACAGGCUCUUCGUCUCACCACUUGUUUGCACGAGCUCUUUGGAGGCCUUCACCCUGCCACAUUCCAGGACCAAGACCACAGCAACCAUGGGAGUGUAUAUUGGUAUGGAGAAACCAUAAUAUCUAAGCGAUGUGGAAAAAUGUACCAAUGGAGAACAGCAAUCCCGCCCAGUCUCCAGAACUGCUAGACUUUGCAUUAGUAAGAACCAAUCUUUUAUUGUGCUAUAUUACUGAGAAUUUUGAAAUUAUUAUUGUAGUGUAUUUUAACUUAUCCUGACUAAUACAUCCAAGUUAAUUAGCAAGUACUCUGGGAUUCUUGAACUCCACUCCCCAAGCCCUGCCAAAUUUCUGGGGUAUUGCUUCUGCCUAGGGUUUCAGGAUGUAUUGAUAUUUUACAUAUGGAUUCAUUCACACUGCUUUCUCAAAUUACGAUUAGCACUGAGGUCCUAGAAAGAUGUUAGUCUUUAUGAAACUCCAGUGAGUUGACAGUAAGCACCAAAUGUUCUCACACAUAGUUUCUGGGACGACGUGUGAAAGAGUAUAUUUUUUAGACUUUGAAAUAUACAUUUUUAUGUCUGAAAUGAUUUUUGUUGACAUUAAAAUAUGUCCUGAAUUGUGACAUCUCAAGCUUGAUGGCUUUUACCUACUCAUUAUAUAAAUUCUGUUAUGUAAGCUAGAAUGUAAACUUUAUUUCGUUUACCUGAGUUUCUAGAUUAGAGAUUGUGAAAAUUCUAGAACAAUGGUAAUCAACCUCUCGUCUUCUUUUCCAUACAUUUAUUUCUCUCUUUCUCCUUAAUUUGAAUUAAAACCAUGUCAUUAUUUCUCUCACCUGUUGGAAAUGGUUUACCUUUUUUGGUAAGGUAAGUCUUCAGAAACCAAAGAUCAAUCUUUUUAAGUUAUCAUCAGUCCCCUUGUAACGUUACUUUAUAUCUAUGAUCCGACAUGCUUUUUACCACCCCGCUUCUAUAAGUUUAUCCAUUUUAACUUAUACCUAACAUAUUUAUUAUUGCAUUUGUUUACCUGCUCAAAGCAUUUAUUUACUUCAUAGCAAUCCUUUAACUUUACUAUGAGCUAUAACUGUAACAUAAGGGUCAGCUGCCUCUAAGGGUUUCUUUUCCUUUUCCUUGGAUGUCAAGUAAACUGCCCUGAAGUGCAGUCCCUUGGGUGGGAGAAAAUCUAACAUGCUGACUAAAGACAUCCAGGCUCUUCUGUGCACCUGACUUUCUUGUGGUCCGUCCACACUGUGGCCUGUUCCCCUGUCACCCCUGGCCAGACAGGGCAGCACUGUCUGUGUGCGCACACCCACCAGCAGACUCUGAUGGAAGGUGUUGGGGCACCGGAGGGAGUUAUCAACAACUCAAGACAGUUAAGAUGAGCCAUGCAACAUUGCAUCACGGGCACGCUGCUUCUGAAGCAUGCUGUGGCCAUCCUCAUUACUGGGAAUUGCUCAGUGGGUGUCUUUCUUUUCAGACAUAGGAUGUCACUGUGAUACUGGGCUUUCCUUCAUUUUCACACUCUCCUAACACAGUCUCUACCCUCCUCCUUUCUCAGGGCUCUCCCUCCAUCUCUCUCAAGCUCUCCUCACCCUACUCCUUUGAAGCCCAGAAUCCCCCCUCAGUAUGUCCUGCACUUUGACUUUCCUAAUCUUUAACUCAACCCUAGUCCAGCUUCUUUAGUUUAUUUUUUAUUCUGUUUAUUUUUGGCCACGCAACUUGUGGGAUCUUAGUUCCCCAACCAGGGAUUGAACCCCUGCUCUCAGGAGUGAAAGCAUGAAUCUUUUUUUUUUUUUUCAAUGCUCAGUAUAUGGUUUUAUUAUCAACAACCAGGGCUGACUUGAAUUGACAACUGAUUCUGUUAUAUAAUAGUUUCAGGAAGAAUUGCUACAGAGCAUUGUUUAUCAAACUAAUAUUCUCAAAUAUGUAAACAUCUCUCUAUAUUAAAUUCCUUAUGGAAAGCAUCCCUAUCUAGCAAGCUAAUUACUUGCUUAUUUAAGUGUACAUUUU
ensembl:lncRNA